rnacentral:rRNA from 1 species
AGCUCCAAUAGCGUAUAUUAAAGUUGUUGCAGUUAAAAAGCUCGUAGUUGGAUUUGGGACUGGAGUCGUUCGGUCGGCCGCAAGGUCUGUUACUGAACGGCUCUGUCAUCACAUUCCCAGAGACCUGCCGUGUACUUAACUGUGCGCGGUACGGGAUUUGGGACGUUUACUUUGAAAAAAUUAGAGUGUUCAAAGCAAGCGAUUUGCCCUGAAUACAUUAGCAUGGAAUAAUAGAAUAGGACCUGGUCUUAUUUUGUUGGUUUGUAUAAUUUCAGGUAAUGAUUAACAGGGACGGUUGGGGGCAUUUGUAUUCCGAGGCGAGAGGUGAAAUUCUUAGACCCUCGGAAGACAAACAGCUGCGAAAGCGUUUGCCAAGGACGUUUUCAUUGAUCAAGAACGA